UACGUAGGGGGCAAGCGUUGUCCGGAUUUACUGGGCGUAAAGGGCGCGUAGGCGGUUGGUUAAGUCAGCUGUGAAAGCCCGGGGCUCAACCCCGGAGGGUCGGCUGAUACUGAUUGACUAGAGUACGGAAGAGGUAGCUGGAAUUCCCGGUGUAGCGGUGAAAUGCGUAGAUAUCGGGGAGGAACACCUGAGGCGAAGGCGGGCUACUGGGCCGAUACUGACGCUGAUGCGCGAAAGCCAGGGGAGCGAACGGG
rnacentral:rRNA from 1 species